GCGUUGUCCGGAAUUAUUGGGCGUAAAGCGCGCGCAGGUGGUUCCUUAAGUCUGAUGUGAAAGCCCACGGCUCAACCGUGGAGGGUCAUUGGAAACUGGGGAACUUGAGUGCAGAAGAGGAAAGUGGAAUUCCAAGUGUAGCGGUGAAAUGCGUAGAGAUUUGGAGGAACACCAGUGGCGAAGGCGACUUUCUGGUCUGUAACUGACACUGAGGCGCGAAAGCGUGGGGAGCAAACAGGAUUAGAUACCCUGGUAGUCCACGCCGUAAACGAUGAGUGCUAAGUGUUAGAGGGUUUCCGCCCUUUAGUGCUGCAGCUAACGCAUUAAGCACUCCGCCUGGGGAGUACGGCCGCAAGGCUGAAACUCAAAGGAAUUGACGG
rnacentral:rRNA from 1 species